GUUUGAGUGCUUGUCUGAAUGUUUUCCCAUCAGUAAGACUCCUCCGAUCUUUAGAGUGAGCAAAAAUGACCCUCUGGAUAACCAUCAUAUUAUUAUCAAUAGUCCUCAGAGGUGUCCAGUCAGAGGUCCAGCUGGUGGAGUCAGGAGGGGACGUGAGAAGACCUGGAGAGUCCCUCCGCCUCUCCUGCCAAGGGUCUGGAUUCACCUUCAGCAGCUAUGGCAUGAGCUGGGUGAGGCAGUAUCCGGGGAAAAGACUAGAAUGGGUUGCGUUCAUAUAUGGUGAUUCCAGUGGAAAAUUCUACUCAGACAAAGUCAAGGGACGCUUCACCAUCUCCAGGGACAAUGCCAAAAGCCAACUCUAUUUGCAAAUGAACAACCUCAAGCCAGAGGACACGGGACACUAUUACUGUGUGAGACACACA